CGCGAAGAACCUUACCAGGUCUUGACAUCCUUUGACCACUCUAGAGAUAGAGCUUCCCCUUCGGGGGCAAAGUGACAGGUGGUGCAUGGUUGUCGUCAGCUCGUGUCGUGAGAUGUUGGGUUAAGUCCCGCAACGAGCGCAACCCUUAUUGUUAGUUGCCAUCAUUCAGUUGGGCACUCUAGCAAGACUGCCGGUGACAAACCGGAGGAAGGUGGGGAUGACGUCAAAUCAUCAUGCCCCUUAUGACCUGGGCUACACACGUGCUACAAUGGGAAGUACAACGAGUUGCGAAGUCGCGAGGCUAAGCUAAUCUCUUAAAGCUUCUCUCAGUUCGGAUUGCAGGCUGCAACUCGCCUGCAUGAAGCCGGAAUCGCUAGUAAUCGCGGAUCAGCACGCCGCGGUGAAUACGUUCCCGGGUCUUGUACACACC
rnacentral:rRNA from 1 species